rnacentral:rRNA from 1 species
AGGAUGAACGCUGGCGGCGUGCCUAACACAUGCAAGUCGAACGUCCUGUCUCGCAAGAGGCAGGGAGUGGCGGACGGGUGAGUACCACGUGGGUCAUCUACCGUGAGGUGAGGAAUACCGGCGAGAAAUCGCCGACAAGACCGCAUAGGCUCGAUGCAAGUCGAGCAAAGCUCUUUCGAGAGAGGGAGCGCCACACGAGGAGCCUGCGCCCGAUUAGCUAGCUGGUGGAGUAACGGUUCACCAGGGCGACGAUCGGUAGCUGGUCUGAGAGGACGAUCAGCCACACUGGGAUUGAGAACGGCCCAGACUCCUACGGGGGGCAGCAGUGAGGAAUUUUCGUCAAUGGGGGCAACCCUGAACGAGCAACGCCGCGUGCAGGAAGAAGGUUUCGGAUCGUAAACUGCUUUUCUCGGGAAGAGAAUGGACGGUACCCGAGGAAUCGAGCCCGGCUAACUACGCGCCAGCAGCCGCGGU